GGGCUGUUAGCUUAACGAUAGAGCAGAGGGCUUUUAGUCCAUCGGUUGCGGGUUCGAGUCCUGCACAGCCCACCA
rnacentral:tRNA from 1 species